rnacentral:rRNA from 1 species
CGGACCGGCGCACGGGUGAGUAACGCGUAUGCAACUUACCUAUCAGAGGGGGAUAACCCGGCGAAAGUCGGACUAAUACCGCAUGAAGCAGGGGCCCCGCAUGGGGAUAUUUGCUAAAGAUUCAUCGCUGAUAGAUAGGCAUGCGUUCCAUUAGGCAGUUGGCGGGGUAACGGCCCACCAAACCGACGAUGGAUAGAGGUUCUGAGAGGAAGGUCCCCCACAUUGGUACUGAGACACGGACCAAACUCCUACGGGAGGCAGCAG